UAUGUUAUUGACCAGGGAAGGAUGAGAAGCGUCGACGAGGGUUCGAGUCGAGCAACAGCGAGACAACGUUGCCGCAGGCAACGGCCCGAAGGGUGAGGAGCGAAGCGACGAAUAAUCCUUCCCCCACCACCA
rnacentral:sRNA from 1 species